GCUGAGAACAUGGUUGCCCAGCAUACCAGGCAAGCCCGUUUGGUUUCAAAUAGAGGCAAAGGCAAAUGGUGUUAUGUCUCCUUGGAUGAAGAUAUUUGAUCCCAACCACAAACUUAGCCACCCUAUAUUUGCAACUGCAAAGUCAGUAUGGUGUAAAUUACGUAGGGCUGUCAGGAUCUGGGUUGUGUUUGUGUUUUUGUGCUUGCUACAUGUGCUCAUUUUCAGACGGUGCAGGAGCUCUCAGGUGUGCUGGGUGACAGGUGCGACUUAUUUCCACUGAUUACUCUGAGGAGUACUUAAGCAGGAGGCUGCCAGCACUUCAAUGCCAAAGUGUUUGCCACCAGUGGUACAAGCUCAAGCCAAACACUAAGUUUAUGCUUCAUUCUUCAACUUCUUGUAACUUUGCUCCUUUUGCAGAUUUAGAAAGCCUAAGCUUUGGAUCUAUGUCACUGUGUACUGACUAUGUCUCUGGAAGUUACUCUGGAUGAUCAAGCCUAUCUAUGCUCUGUGAAUUUCAUAUCCUAUCUCCUGUCUUCGUUUGGAUUCACAUCAAGCUGGCAGUUUCCUGCUCCCAUCGUCUCCUGGACCAAGCCGUAAGCGUAACCUGUCCACCCUCCAACGUAAGCAUCUGCACACCAAACUCAUUCCUGUCUGCUCCGAGCUCACACAGAACAGCACCCAAGAAACCUUCUAUGGACUCACCUUCAUUAAACCUGGAUCCUGAAUCUCUCUACUCCUGGUGUCCUGACCACAGCUACCUAUGAGAUUUUCGACCAUUAUGUUUCUGAUUAUCAUCUUCCAAAUAAACAACCUUUUACUCA